AGUAACGGCGAGUGAAGCGGUAACAGCUCAAAUUUAAAAUCCGGCCUUCACGGGCCCGAGUUGUAAUUUGUAGAGGAUGUUUCGGACAAGGCUGUGGUUUAAGUUUCUUGGAACAGAACGUCACAGAGGGUGAGAAUCCCGUCUAGAACCGACGGCCGCGUCCAUGUGAAACCCCUUCGACGAGUCGAGUUGUUUGGGA
rnacentral:rRNA from 1 species